AACGAACGCUGGCGGCAUGCCUAACACAUGCCAGUCGAACGAGACCUUCGGGUCUAGUGGCGCACGGGUGCGUAACGCGUGGGAACCUGCCCUUAGGUUCGGAAUAACUCCCCGAAAGGGGUGCUAAUACCGGAUAAUGUCUUCGGACCAAAGAUUUAUCGCCUUUGGAUGGGCCGCGUUGGAUUAGCUAGUUGGUAGGGUAAAAGCCUACCAAGGCGACGAUCCAUAGCUGGUCUGAGAGGAUGAUCAGCCACACUGGGACUGAGACACGGCCCAGACUCCUACGGGAGGCAGCAGUGGGGAAUAUUGGACAAUGGGCGAAAGCCUGAUCCAGCAAUGCCGCGUGAGUGAUGAAGGCCUUAGGGUUGUAAAGCUCUUUUACCCGGGAUGAUAAUGACAGUACCGGGAGAAUAAGCUCCGGCUAACUCCGUG
rnacentral:rRNA from 1 species